rnacentral:lncRNA from 1 species
AAUGGAACAAUUGGUACUCACUCUCACCAGACUAUUCCCUUAAAGUGGGAGGUCAAGGGUUCGAGUAGUGGGGGAGGCGACCUAAUUUCCUAAGGGAAAUUUGGGCCAAAUCCACUCGGGCUAGGGCGGGCCGUAAUGGCUCCCCCGAGGGACAAAUCCUGCCUGGAACCCGUGAGGGUGAAGGGAUGUUAAGAGCUGCUCACAGUGGCUGGGCCCAGAGGAAGGUCACGGGCCGUGAGUGGUAACAGUGCC